GACGAACGCUGGCGGCGUGCUUAACACAUGCAAGUCGAGCGGUAAGGCCCUUUCGGGGGUACGACGAGCGGCGAACGGGUGAGUAACACGUGGGUGACCUGCCCUCAGCUCUGGGAUAAGCCUGGGAAACCGGGUCUAAUACUGGAUAUGACUCCAUGACGCAUGUUGUGGGGUGGAAAGCCUUGUGCGGCUGAGGAGUGGGCCCGCGGCCUAUCAGCUUGUUGGUGGGGUGAUGGCCUACCAAGGCGACGACGGGUAGCCGGCCUGAGAGGGCGACCGG
rnacentral:rRNA from 1 species